rnacentral:rRNA from 1 species
AUUGAACGCUGGCGGCAUGCCUUACAUAUGUAAGUCGAACGGUAACGCGGGGCAACCUGGUGACGAGUGGCGAACGGGUGAGUAAUAUAUCGGAACGUGCCCAGUAGUGGGGGAUAGUCCGGCGAAAGCCGGAUUAAUACCGCAUGAGACCUGAGGGUGAAAGCGGGGGAUUGUAAGACCUCGCGCUAUUGGAGCGGCCGAUAUCAGAUUAGGUAGUUGGUGGGGUAAAGGCCUACCAAGCCGACGAUCUGUAGCUGGUCUGAGAGGACGACCAGCCACACUGGGACUGAGAUAUGGCCUAGACUCCUACGGGAGGCAGCAGUGGGGAAUUUUGGACAAUGGGCGCAAGCCUGAUUUAGCCAUGCCGCGUGCGGGAAGAAGGCUUCGGGUUGUAAACCGCUUUUGUUAGGGAGAAAUCUUCUGAGCUAAUACCUCGGGGGAUGACGGUACCUGAAGAAUAAGCACCGGCUAACUACGUG